rnacentral:rRNA from 1 species
AGAGUUUGAUCCUGGCUCAGGACGAACGCUGGCGGCGUGCCUAACACAUGCAAGUCGAGCGAGGGAGCUCCUUCGGGAGCAACCUAGCGGCGGACGGGUGAGUAACACGUGGGCAACCUGCCUUGAAGAGGGGGAUAGCCUCCCGAAAGGGAGAUUAACACCGCAUAACAUCGGAUUACCGCAUGGUGAACCGAUUAAAGGAGUAAUCCGCUUCAAGAUGGGCCCGCGGCGCAUUAGCUAGUUGGUGAGGUAACGGCUCACCAAGGCGACGAUGCGUAGCCGACCUGAGAGGGUGAUCGGCCACAUCGGGACUGAGACACGGCCCAAACUCCUACGGGAGGCUGCAGUAGGGAAUCUUCCACAAUGGACGCAAGUCUGAUGGAGCAACGCCGCGUGAGUGAUGACGGCCUUCGGGUUGUAAAGCUCUGUCUUCAGGGACGAUAAUGACGGUACCUGAGGAGGAAGCCACGGCUAACUACGUGCCAGCAGCCGCGGUAAUACGUAGGUGGCGAGCGUUGUCCGGAAUUAUUGGGCGUAAAGGGAGCGUAGGCGGAUUUUUAAGUGGGAUGUGAAAUACCCGGGCUCAACCUGGGUGCUGCAUUCCAAACUGGAAAUCUAGAGUGCAGGAGGGGAAAGUGGAAUUCCUAGUGUAGCGGUGAAAUGCGUAGAGAUUAGGAAGAACACCAGUGGCGAAGGCGACUUUCUGGACUGUAACUGACGCUGAGGCUCGAAAGCGUGGGGAGCAAACAGGAUUAGAUACCCCGGUAGUCCUGGCCGUAAACGAUGGGUACUAGGUGUAGGAGGUAUCGACCCCUUCUGUGCCGGAGUUAACGCAAUAAGUACCCCGCCUGGGGAGUACGACCGCAAGGUUGAAACUCAAAGGAAUUGACGGGGGCCCGCACAAGUAGCGGAGCAUGUGGUUUAAUUCGAUGCAACGCGAAGAACCUUACCUGGUCUUGACAUCCACAGAACUUUGCAGAGAUGCUUUGGUGCCUUCGGGAACUGUGAGACAGGUGCUGCAUGGCUGUCGUCAGCUCGUGCCGGGAGAUGUUGGGUUAAGUCCCGCAACGAGCGCAACCCUUGAUCUUAGUUGCCAGCAUUCAGUUGGGCACUCUAAGGUGACUGCCGGUGAUAAACCGGAGGAAGGUGGGGAUGACGUCAAAUCAUCAUGCCCCUUAUGACCUGGGCUACACACGUGCUACAAUGGACGGUACAGAGGGUCGCAACCCCGCGAGGGUGAGCUAAUCCCAUAAAACCGUUCUCGGUUCGGAUUGUAGGCUGCAACUCGCCUACAUGAAGCCGGAAUCGCUAGUAAUCGUGGAUCAGCAUGCCACGGUGAAUACGUUCCCGGGCCUUGCACUCACCGCCGGUCA